CCGCAAGCAAAAGGGGUCCGCACAAAAACUAAUUGGAAAACGCCUGAGACCUACCGAAUUAAAGGUUCUCACGAACGGACCAAAUUGCGCCACUGUUCACUUAACACCCCGCACUCCCCCUGAAGAGAGUAACGUGGAAAGGGCAGCGUGAGUUAAUUCAGUCUUUUGUCGUUAUGGUAACGCAGAGACUGUCUCGUACCUGAUCCGGCGUUCUUUACCGAACGACUUUUAAGCUUAAAAUACUAUUCAUUUUAGACGCCCCACCUAUUAAGCAAAAUUAGCUAAUGGAAAUGUCAGCUGCUACAGAAGUUUUGGCUGAAUUGGGGCUGUUCGUCGAUGAACAAAUGUCGCAACUAAGACUGCUCGACCCGCAGAACGAUAAUUCAACUCUGCUUAGAGAGCAUUGCAAGUGAGAGCGCCGGUGGACCCCAUCGAAAAUUGCCGAAAAUACCACGCAAUGAGGCCCUUAGCGAUAUAGCAGUUCUAGACAGACGCAACCAUUUACGAACGGAAACUCGAACAUUGAAGACCGCAUAGGAAGUGGCUACACGUGAGGACUUAAAGCGGGCAACGAGUCGUUAUGAUGACGGAAGCAGAACAAAGCAUAGCCAUUGAACCUCAUUUUCAUUCCAUCUGAGAAAUAUGCGCAUGUGAUCUGAAAUUGCGAUGAAGGCACUAAGAACAAAAAAAAAAGCGAAUGGUGGAUUUCGGACGAAUUAAGUCCAGGACAAAUGAAAAAAACGCGUAUUGUGCUUUGGGAACGGUUUUUUACUAGCAGGAUAUCCGCUUAGAUUACACUGUCGCCGUAGACCAGACAUGGCUUUGUUUGUGUUAUCCACCAGAAAAGAAUCAACAGUAUUGAACAGGAAAGAAAGUGAUUUCGAUGGCAGUACCAGAUCGGUACUCGCGUAAGCUAAUGCUCUUGUUUGCCACUCCACUCUGCUCCUUCACUAUAACUCCGUUGAGUUAUUCGAUAACAAUACACUGCGCCUUAUCGCCAUGCUGCAAUCAGGGCCUACAUCAAGGAAGCCAGGCUCGAGCGAUGGUUGUGCUUCCUAGAUUCUCCAAAUAUAACUCAUCCGUCUAAUUUCGAUUGCUUUCUUGUCUUAAAGAGGGCGAUAGGUGGCGUAGCGUGUCCUACCGUCGAUUCUCUCAGACAAGUUACCCAUAACAAGAUUGGGGGUGGUAGUGCAAACUACAAAUAGAUGGCCUUUAAGGAACUUCGAAAACGCUGGCUUC